AACCGAACCGCUGGCCGGCGUGCUUAACMACAUUGCAAGUCGAACCGCGAAAGUUUUCUUUAGGGAAGAUUGAGUAGAGUGGCGCACCGGGUGAGUAACGCGUAAAUAAUCUACCCCUGCAUCUGGGAUAACCCACCGAAAGGUUGGCUAAUACCGGAUACGUUCUUUUAACCGCGAGGUUUUAAGAAGAAAGGUGGCCUCUGAUAUAAGCUACUGUGCGGGGAGGAGUUUGCGUACCAUUAGCUAGUUGGUAGGGUAAUGGCCUACCAAGGCAACGAUGGUUAGCGGGUCUGAGAGGAUGAUCCGCCACACUGGAACUGGAACACGGACCAGACUCCUACGGGAGGCAGCAGUGAGGAAUAUUGCGCAAUGGGGGCAACCCUGACGCAGCGACGCCGCGUGGAUGAUGAAGGCCUUCGGGUCGUAAAAUCCUGUCAGAUGGAAAGAAAUGUUAUACGGAUAAUAGCUGUAUAGCUUGACGGUACCAUCAAAGGAAGCACCGGCUAACUCCGUGCCAGCAGUCGCGGUAAUACGGAGGGUGCAAGCGUUGUUCGGAAUUAUGGGCGUAAAGCGCGCGUAGGUGGUUUGUUAUGUCAGAUGUGAAAGUCCACGGCUCAACCGUGGAAGUGCAUUUGAAACUGGCAGACUUGAGUACUGGAGGGGGUAGUGGAAUUCCCGGUGUAGAGGUGAAAUUCGUAGAUAUCGGGAGGAAUACCGGUGGCGAAGGCGACUACUUGGCCAGAUACUGACACUGAGGUGCGAAAGCGUGGGGAGCAAACAGGAUUAGAUACCCUGGUAGUCCACGCCGUAAACGAUGUCAACUAGGUGUUGGGAUGGUUAAUCGUCUCAUUGCCGGAGCUAACGCAUUAAGUUGACCGCCUGGGGAGUACGGUCGCAAGAUUAAAACUCAAAGGAAUUGACG
rnacentral:rRNA from 1 species